CCCCACGGGGGAAAGCGGAGGACCGCAAGGCUUCGCACUAUCGGAGUGGCCGAUAUCGGAUUAGCUAGUUGGCGGGGUAACGGCCCACCAAGGCGACGAUCCGUAGCUGGUCUGAGAGGACGAUCAGCCACACUGGAACUGAGACACGGUCCAGACUCCUACGGGAGGCAGCAGUGGGGAAUUUUGGACAAUGGGCGCAAGCCUGAUCCAGCCAUGCCGCGUGAGUGAAGAAGGCCUUCGGGUUGUAAAGCUCUUUCGGUGGGGACGAAAAGGUUCGUGCUAAUACCAUGGACUAAUGACGGUACCCGAAGAAGAAGCACCGGCUAACUACGUGCCAGCAGCCGCGGUAAUACGUAGGGUGCAGGCGUUAAUCGGAAUUACUGGGCGUAAAGCGUGCGCAGGCGGUUUGUUAAGACAGAUGUGAAAUCCCCGGGCUUAACCUGGGAACUGCGUUUGUAACUGGCAAGCUAGAGUGUGGCAGAGGGGGGUGGAAUUCCAAGUGUAGCAGUGAAAUGCGUAGAUAUUUGGAGGAACACCGAUGGCGAAGGCAGCCCCCUGGGCUAACACUGACGCUCAUGCACGAAAGCGUGGGGAGCAAACAGGAUUAGAUACCCUGGUAGUCC
rnacentral:rRNA from 1 species